rnacentral:misc_RNA from 1 species
AUCUCCAUCUGCAGUUCUUGUCAACACUGACAAGUAAUAGUAUGGCUUUCCAUUCACUUCCUCCACCGAACUCUCCAAUAUGUUCGCCGUUGCUACUGCGUCCUGGUCGAAUCCACCCUCAGAAGCAGUCUUUCCGAAGUAGGCUUGUUUUCCCAGCAAAUAGUCAACCUGGGAAAGGAAUUCUUCCGGGGAGCCAAAGUCUUUGAUGGUUUUCUUAUCAGUUGGGUUGAUAAUUACACUAAGAUUGCUGUUGGAAUCAAAGUUAUCUUCGUAUCUAAGAACUUGGCCUGGGAAUUCUCUUUCUUUGCUUGGAUUCCACUUGGAAGGAACUGAAAGCUUGAAUCCAUCUCCA